CCCUGGUUAGCUGAGUUGGUAGAGCGCUCCACUUGUAAUGGAGAGGUCCCGGGUUCGAUACCCGGACCAGGAG
rnacentral:tRNA from 2 species